GACACGCCGCGUGAGUGAUGAAGGCUUUCGGGUCGUAAAACUCUGUUGUUAGGGAAGAACAAGUACGAGAGUAACUGCUCGUACCUUGACGGUACCUAACCAGAAAGCCACGGCUAACUACGUGCCAGCAGCCGCGGCAAUACGUAGGUGGCAAGCGUUAUCCGGAAUUAUUGGGCGUAAAGCGCGCGCAGGCGGUUUCUUAAGUCUGAUGUGAAAGCCCACGGCUCAACCGUGGAGGGUCAUUGGAAACUGGGGAACUUGAGUGCAGAAGAGAAAAGCGGAAUUCCACGUGUAGCGGUGAAAUGCGUAGAGAUGUGGAGGAACACCAGUGGCGAAGGCGGCUUUUUGGUCUGUAACUGACGCUGAGGCGCGAAAGCGUGGGGAACAAACAGGAUUAGAUACCCUGGUAGUCCACGCCGUAAACGAUGAGUGCUAAGUGUUAGAGGGUUUCCGCCCUUUAGUGCUGCAGCUAACGCAUUAAGCACUCCGCCUGGGGAGUACGGUCGCAAGACUGAAACUCA
rnacentral:rRNA from 1 species